AUCCAGCUGAUGAGUUCCAAAUAGGACGAAACGCGCAUCCUGGAU
rfam:Schistosoma mansoni, Puerto Rico, WGS project CABG01000000 data, contig: 0218